CCUACGGGUGGCAGCAGUGAGGAAUAUUGGUCAAUGGGCGCAAGCCUGAACCAGCCAAGUCGCGUGAGGGAUGACGGUCCUAUGGAUUGUAAACCUCUUUUGUCGGGGGGCAAGGCCCGCCACGUGUGGCGGGAAGCAGAGUACCCGAAGAUAAAGCAUCGGCUAAGUCCGUGCCAGCAGCCCCGUUAAUACGGAGGCUGCGAGCGUUAUCCGGAUUUAUUGGGUUUAAAGGGUGCGUAGGCGGAAGGUUAAGUCAGCGGUAAAAUGUCGGGGCUCAACACCGGCCUGCAGUUGAAACUGGUCUCAUUGAGUGAGCGAGAGGUAUGCGGAAUGCGUGGUGUAGCGGUGAAAUGCAUAGAUAUCACGCAGAACUCCGAUUGCGAAGGCAGCAUACCGGCGCGCAACUGACGCUGAGGCACGAAAGCGUGGGGAUCGAACAGGAUUAGAUACCCCUGUAGUC
rnacentral:rRNA from 1 species